rnacentral:lncRNA from 1 species
CAUGUAAAUUUCAACUCAUAACCAUUUUUUUACAAUUUGUAAUUAUUUUCUAAACUCAUAACAGGGGACUCCAAAAACAGUUCUGACCCUAUCUUACUAAAAUUCACAUAUCUUAAAAUAUAAAUUUCUUUUCUCUACACCGUUAUUUUUCCAUGAAAAUAGACUCAACAAGCUUUAAUUCCAUAUAUCAUUCACCCUCUAAUUCAUUUUAUACUAUCUUGGGUGAUUUUUCAAAUUCAAGUCACUAUUGCUGCCUGAAUUCUGUUUCUUUGCAAAAUUUUACCAUUUUAUGACUUUCAUACCUAAUUUAUCACUUAGACUUUUAUAACAAUAAUUAACUUCAUCCUUGACCAUUUAAACAACCAUUCAUCAUCAAAUACUUACACAUCAUUCUAUAGUAAAAUCAUAUUUACAAAUAUACAAAAUUACUAAAUUCCUAUACAUGCCAUAACUAAAAGAAAUGUUCACCACCACAAUUAGCUCAGAAUCGGCUUUGGAUGCUGAUUCAACAAUCCGACUUUGACCUAACCUGCGCACGGAAACAACCGUACGCUGAGUAUGGAAAUACUCAGUGGUAUUACGAUAAUUCGAAUUAAUAACAUUAAUCGAUAAAUUAUAUACAUUUUAUUUAUGUCUACAAUUAUUCAUUAAUUAUCUCAUGCAUUAAAUCAACUUGAUAAUUAAUAACAAUAAGCUAUAAUUCAAAUCUUGUAUUUAAUUGUAUUCAUACCUUAUUUCACUAUCUCAAUUCCAUUGGAUUUUUCUUUACAUCUCAUUCCAAUAGUUCAUUUCAAUUCAUAUACAAUUCAUUUCAUUUAAUUUAUAUUCAAUAUAAAUUUUAUUGCAAUUUGUACUCACUAAUAUCAUAUAACAAAAUUUACUCUUUAUCACAUCAUGAACUUUGGGCUCAUAUCUUUAAAUCUCUUAUUUCGAUUUCCAAUUCACACAUCAAUUCACAACUUCACUUUUUCGUUUCUUCCCAUAGCUCAAUCAAUCACAUUUAUUCAAUUUUCUCAUUUCAAUUAUUUACCCCUAUUAACAAGACUCGGACCUUGGCGGAUACACGGAUCCAACCAAACACACCAAAAUGGCACCCAGUGCCUCAUCGGAUAGUUCGAAGCAAUAGUUGACACCCAGUGUCUCAUCGGCCCAGCCGAAGUAAAGUUGGUACCCAGUACCUCAUCGAAUCUAUCCGAAGAAAUAUAGUGACACCCAGUGUCUCAUCGACUCAAGGUCGAAGUAUCCCUGAACUCUUCCAAUCCUAUGGCAUGCCAACUAUAUCCGACUCAGCCCGACUAGUUAAUAGGGUUUCCGAAUCACAUUUCAAUUCAAUCACUUUCUCAUACUUUCAAUUCAAAUCAUUCCCAUUUAAUCACCAUUUGUUUCAAUACAUUUUUCUAUUUCAAAUUCACUUUCGAUUUAAUCGCAAUUCAACUCAGAUUCACUUCCCACUUUCAAAUCAAUAUACAAUUCAAUACCAAUACAUAUUUCAGAUAUUCACAUAUAAUCAUACUUCGAUUCAAUUCAAACCACUUUUCAAUCAAUACACAAUUCACAUAUUCACAUAUCUCAAUUUAAUAUCUCAUUUAUUCAAUUCAUAUUUUAAUUCAUUCAAUUAAAUAUUGAUAUUCUCCUUAUUUUUAUUUACUAACAUAUUAUUCAAAAUUCAAUAAUUACUGUCAAUAAAUUCAAUAUCAAUACGUAUAUAUAUUAUUCAAUUCAAUUAUGAAACUCACCUCAAUUUGCUUAUCGUGUAUAUUAAUUUAAUUUUCAACGAUUAAUAAUUAAAUUCGAAUUAUAGUAAUACUAACCGUAAUUUCUCUCGAGUCACUCCUUGUCCACUUUCUCCUUUCCUUUCUCGGACAAUGACUCGUACACGACAUUAGCAAAUUACUUUGAACCUUAAAACCCCAAAUUUCCCUUUUUCUUUUCUUUUCUUUCUUUCUUUCCUUCCUUCCUUCUCUGUUUCGUUUUGCUCUCUGUUUCUUUCUUUCUCCCUUCUCUGUUUUGUUUUGCUCUUUUUUUCUUUUCUUUCUUUCUUUGUCAUAUAUAUAUAUA